UUAGCUACCACUUACAGAUGGACCCGCGGCGCAUUAGCUAGUUGGUGAGGUAACGGCUCACCAAGGCAACGAUGCGUAGCCGACCUGAGAGGGUGAUCGGCCACACUGGGACUGAGACACGGCCCAGACUCCUACGGGAGGCAGCAGUAGGGAAUCUUCCGCAAUGGACGAAAGUCUGACGGAGCAACGCCGCGUGAGUGAUGAAGGUUUUCGGAUCGUAAAACUCUGUUGUUAGGGAAGAACAAGUACCGUUCGAAUAGGAGCGGUACCUUGACGGUACCUAACCA
rnacentral:rRNA from 1 species